GACGAACGCUGGCGGCGUGCUUAACACAUGCAAGUCGAACGAUGAACUUGGAGCUUGCUCUGGGGGAUUAGUGGCGAACGGGUGAGUAACACGUGAGUAACCUGCCCUGGACUCUGGGAUAACUUCGAGAAAUCGGAGCUAAUACCGGAUAGGACCUUGCACCGCAUGGUGUGGGGUGGAAAGUUUUUCGGUUUGGGAUGGACUCGCGGCCUAUCAGCUUGUUGGUGAGGUAAUGGCUCACCAAGGCGUCGACGGGUAGCCGGCCUGAGAGGGUGACCGGCCACACUGGGACUGAGACACGGCCCAGACUCCUACGGGAGGCAGCAGUGGGGAAUAUUGCACAAUGGGCGCAAGCCUGAUGCAGCAACGCCGCGUGCGGGAUGACGGCCCUCGGGUUGUAAACCGCUUUUAGUAAGGAAGAAGCCGCAAGGUGACGGUACUUGCAGAAAAAGGACCGGCUAACUACGUGCCAGCCGCCGCGGUAAUAC
rnacentral:rRNA from 1 species